rnacentral:rRNA from 1 species
AUAUUGCGCAAUGGCCGAAAGGCUGACGCAGCGACGCCGCGUGGGGAUGAAGCAUUUCGGUGUGUAAACCCCUGUUGCCCGGGACGAACAAGCAGAUUUUUCUGCUCUGACGGUACCGGGUGAGGAAGCACCGGCUAACUCCGUGCCAGCAGCCGCGGUAAUACGGAGGGUGCGAGCGUUGUCCGGAAUCACUGGGCGUAAAGGGCGCGUAGGCGGUCUGCUAAGCGUGCGGUGAAAGCCCGGGGCUCAACCCCGGGUCUGCCGUGCGAACUGGUUGACUAGACCACUGUAGAGGCAGGUGGAAUUCCGGGUGUAGCGGUGGAAUGCGUAGAUAGCCGGAACAACACCGGUGGCGAAGGCGGCCUGCUGGGCAGUAGCUGACGCUGAGGCGCGACAGCGUGGGGA